GCUCCCAUCGUCUAGAGGCCAAGGACCCCAGGUUUUCAGUCUGGUAACCCCGGUUCAAAUCCGGGUGGGAGUACCA
rnacentral:tRNA from 2 species